GUUAAAAAGCUCGUAGUUGGAUUUCUGGGAGGGUGCCGCCGUCCGGCUGUCCGUGUGCAGUGGCGCCCUUCCAUCCUUCUGUUAGCGUCUCUUGGCAUUCAUUUGCUGGUGGCGGGCUCAGAUAUUUUACCUUGAGAAAAUUAGAGUGUUUCAGGCAGGCUAGGCCGGAAUACAUUAGCAUGGAAUAAUGGAAUAGGACUACGGUCUCUUUGUUGGUUUGAGGGACUGCAGUAAUGAUUAAUAGGGAUAGUUGGGGGCAUUAGUAUUUAAUUGUCAGAGGUGGAAUUCUCAGAUUUGUUAAAGACUAACUUAUGCGAAAGCAUUUGCCAAGGAUGUUUUCAUUAAUCAAGAACGAAAGUUAGGGGAUCAAAGACGAUCAGAUACCGUCCUAGUCUUAACCCAUAAACUAUGCCGACUCGGGAUCGGGGGCGUGUUCUAU
rnacentral:rRNA from 1 species